rnacentral:rRNA from 1 species
UACAGAGGUCUCAAGCGUUGUUCGGAUUCAUUGGGCGUAAAGGGUGCGUAGGCGGCGUGGUAAGUCGGGUGUGAAAUCUCGGAGCUUAACUCCGAAACUGCAUUCGAUACUGCCGUGCUUGAGGACUGGAGAGGAGACUGGAAUUUACGGUGUAGCGGUGAAAUGCGUAGAUAUCGAGAGGAACACCUGCGGCGAAGGCGGGUUGCUGGGCUGACACUGACGCUGAGGCGCGAAAGCCAGGGGAGCGAACGGG